rnacentral:rRNA from 1 species
AGGAUGAACGCUGGCGGCGUGCCUAACACAUGCAAGUCGAGCGAUUCUCUUCGGAGAAGAGCGGCGGACGGGUGAGUAACGCGUGGGUAACCUGCCCUGUACACACGGAUAACAUACCGAAAGGUAUGCUAAUACGAGAUAAUAUGCUUUUAUCGCAUGGUAGAAGUAUCAAAGCUUUUGCGGUACAGGAUGGACCCGCGUCUGAUUAGCUAGUUGGUAAGGUAACGGCUUACCAAGGCGACGAUCAGUAGCCGACCUGAGAGGGUGAUCGGCCACAUUGGAACUGAGACACGGUCCAAACUCCUACGGGAGGCAGCAGUGGGGAAUAUUGCACAAUGGGCGAAAGCCUGAUGCAGCAACGCCGCGUGAGCGAUGAAGGCCUUCGGGUCGUAAAGCUCUGUCCUCAAGGAAGAUAAUGACGGUACUUGAGGAGGAAGCCCCGGCUAACUACGUGCCAGCAGCCGCGGUAAUACGUAGGGGGCUAGCGUUAUCCGGAAUUACUGGGCGUAAAGGGUGCGUAGGUGGUUUCUUAAGUCAGAGGUGAAAGGCUACGGCUCAACCGUAGUAAGCCUUUGAAACUGGGAAACUUGAGUGCAGGAGAGGAGAGUGGAAUUCCUAGUGUAGCGGUGAAAUGCGUAGAUAUUAGGAGGAACACCAGUUGCGAAGGCGGCUCUCUGGACUGUAACUGACACUGAGGCACGAAAGCGUGGGGAGCAAACAGGAUUAGAUACCCUGGUAGUCCACGCCGUAAACGAUGAGUACUAGCUGUCGGAGGUUACCCCCUUCGGUGGCGCAGCUAACGCAUUAAGUACUCCGCCUGGGAAGUACGCUCGCAAGAGUGAAACUCAAAGGAAUUGACG